UGUAGUAGUCUCUUCUACUCACUGCAAACUUUUUUUAAUGUUUAUUAAAUAUUUUAAUAAUUUAAUAGUUUAAAGUGAAUGCAACAUUUUUUAUUGACAAAUACAAGAUAAGUUUAUUUUUUAUAUCAUGUGGCAACUUCCUCAGUAUUUAAAAACACAAGUGAAAAAAACUAACAAAAUAGAUAUACUUUUAAUAUGAUACCCAAAUUAAAUAGUGCAAAUAUUUCAUUACUAUGUGAUGUCAACAUAAUUUCAAAAUCUUAGUAGAAUGAUUUUCUUUUCUUUCCUUUUUUUCUUUUUUCUUUUUCUUUUCUUUUUUCUUUUCUUUUCUUUCCUUUCUGUUUUUGUUUUUGUUUUUGUUUUUGUUUUCAAGUCAGGGUUUCUCUGUAUAGCCCUGGCUGUCCUGGAACUCACUCUGUAGACCAGGCUGGCCUCAUACUCAGAAAUCCGCUUGUCUCUGCCUCCCAAGUGCUCGGAUUAAAGGCAUGCACCAUCACUGCCCAGCAUGCAACCUUUCUAAGUAACAGAUUUUGGGAGGUCAUGCCAAUUCAUCCCCUUAGCAAAACAACUCACUUUGAAACUUCAACAAAGUAGAAUUCCAAGUGGUAGCCUUACCUGACACAGGUUCAGUAUACCCAGAGCACCAUGCCAGAGAUCUUCAUAUCUUCUCCUGAAAUAAGCUCUUUUGGAUAUCAUGGAGAGUAGCACACUGUCUCUUCUACAUCACUGUAUUUUUCCAAAUGAGAGUCCACUUUCUUACGCUUUUACUUAUUAUUCAAGUCUUCCAUGUUUUAAAUGGUUCAUACCAUAUCUAUGAUAAAUAUGUCUAGUGGUAGAAUAAAAUACACCUUCAAUCACCUCUUUUUGAAAGCUGUUUUUAGAUUAAUUUGAUAAAUAAAAGGAUUCUGUAAAUCUGCUAUUGUAGAGAUUAUUUAUAUUUAAAAAUGGCACUUAUUAAAGUGUAUAAGUCAGAUAAUUGCCAAUAGUGCUAUUAUUUUCUUCUUCAUUGAAAUAAAGAUCCAGUAAUUUUUCACGAUCUUCUGUUUAAAUGCAGCAUUUGUAUUUCAUUUUUAUCAAGGAUGCCUUCCAAUGAGAAAGUUAAAACACUAUCUUUAUUCUCUAUAUAUGUUUCAGGUAUUUCUCGAACAAGUACUAUUUACACCAUAUAUACUGCAAAUCGAAUUUCACUUUUUAUUAUAAUUCUGUACUGGAGAAGCCUAUAUUUUUGUGUUCUGACAUGUAGACUGGCUUUCAAAGUUACAGUAUACAUUUAUUUCCUAAGAGUUUGGAGUUCUUGGUAACAGAGUGUGCCUUAUUCGGGUAUUUUGUUUCUCUGAAGAUGAGAGAAAGUAAUAACAUUCUUCAGAAUGGCUGAGAAUCUCCUUAGCAUUCUAAGCUGGGGAGAGAAUCCUACAUCAGACUGAAAUAAAUAAUCAUUUUAUGUAUGCAAUCUUGGAUCAGUGUCUAAGGUAAAUGGUUGUAUCUGUUGAGUCCUGAAGCCUAUCCCACUUCUCAAAAUUGAUAUGUAUAUACAUUCAGCACACACACACAUCCUCCCCAACUUCAAUCACAAACUUAUGCACACAUGCAUACACAGAGACACACACAGUCACAAACAAAUAUGAGUAUACACACAGACAGACACAUACACACACAAGAAAUUUAUACAUAGAACUUUGUCUAUGAAGUAUUUCAGGAGACAAGAAAUCCAAGGGAACUGGCAGGCAAUUGCUGUAAAAACACCACU
rnacentral:lncRNA from 1 species